UAAAAACGCAAAAGACAAGGCAAGAGGGAGACAACACAGGACAAAGCGCUUGUCCUGUGUUGUCUCCCUCUUGUCCUUGUCUUUUGCGCUUUUUAA
rnacentral:pre_miRNA from 1 species